rnacentral:rRNA from 1 species
GAUGAACGCUGGCGGCGUGCUUAACACAUGCAAGUCGAACGAGAACGGGUUAUAGCUUGCUAUAAUUGUCAGCUAAGUGGCGCACGGGUGAGUAAUGUAUAGGUAAUAUGCCUCUUACUAAGGGAUAACAAAUGGAAACGUUCGCUAAUACCUUAUACUCCUUAUUAACAGAAGUUAAUAAGGGAAAGAUUUAUUGGUAAGAGAUUAGCCUGUAUUGUAUCAGUUAGUUGGUGGGGUAAUGGCUUACCAAGACUAUGACACAUAACUGGGUUGAGAGGAUGAUCAGUCACACUGGAACUGAGACACGGUCCAGACUCCUACGGGAGGCAGCAGUGGGGAAUAUUGCACAAUGGACGAAAGUCUGAUGCAGCAACGCCGCGUGGAGGAUGACACAUUUCGGUGCGUAAACUCCUUUUAUAUGAGAAGAUAAUGACGGUAUUAUAUGAAUAAGCACCGGCUAACUCCGUGCCAGCAGCCGCCGCAG